AUCAACAGCCUCAUUCAUGUAGC
rnacentral:piRNA from 1 species